rnacentral:rRNA from 1 species
ACGGAAGGCAGCAGUGAGGAAUAUUGGUCAAUGGUCGGAAGACUGAACCAGCCAUGCCGCGUGAAGGAUUAAGGCCCUAUGGGUCGUAAACUUCUUUUGUACGGGAGCAAUAAGGUCUACGUGUAGUCCGAUGAGAGUACCGUACGAAUAAGCAUCGGCUAACUCCGUGCCAGCAGCCGCGGUAAUACGGAGGAUGCAAGCGUUAUCCGGAUUUAUUGGGUUUAAAGGGAGCGUAGGCGGCCAUUUAAGUCAGCGGUCAAAUGUCAGCGCCCAACGCUGGCCUGCCGUUGAUACUGAUGGGCUUGAAUACACACAAGGAAGGUGGAAUUCGUCGUGUAGCGGUGAAAUGCUUAGAUAUGACGAAGAACUCCGAUUGCGAAGGCAGCCUUCUGGAGUGCGAUUGACGCUGAGGCUCGAAAGCGCGGGUAUCAAACAGGAUUAGAUACCCUGGUA